rnacentral:tRNA from 1 species
GGGAAGGUGGCUCAGUGGUAGAGUGCUAGCCUGGCACGCAUGAAGCCCUGGGUUCGAUUCCUCUGUACCA